rnacentral:rRNA from 1 species
GAGUUUGAUCGUGGCUCAGGACGAACGCUGGCGGCGUGCUUAACACAUGCAAGUCGAACGGAGUAUUCACGAAAGAGGUUUCGGCCAAUGGAGUGAAUUACUUAGUGGCGGACUGGUGAGUAACGCGUGAGGAACCUGCCUUUCAGCGGGGGACAACAGUUGGAAACGACUGCUAAUACCGCAUAACACAUUUGAGGGACAUCCCUUGAAUGUCAAAGAUUUAUUGCUGAAAGAUGGCCUCGCGUCUGAUUAGCUAGUUGGUGAGGUAACGGCCCACCAAGGCGACGAUCAGUAGCCGGACUGAGAGGUUGACCGGCCACAUUGGGACUGAGAUACGGCCCAGACUCCUACGGGAGGCAGCAGUGGGGAAUAUUGGGCAAUGGACGAAAGUCUGACCCAGCAACGCCGCGUGAAGGAAGAAGGCUUUCGGGUUGUAAACUUCUUUUAAGGGGGAAGAGUAGAAGACGGUACCCCUUGAAUAAGCCACGGCUAACUACGUGCCAGCAGCCGCCGUAAC